CAGGGAGACAAUAAAUUGAUUGUGAUGUCUAAGUUAUUUAUUCUUAGGCCGCAAUCCUGUCACCUUAAGGUCGAUCGGUACCUCAGAUUUUUGAAUUAGUUUUAUAAUUGAUUCUUUGAUUUCAGUUCCUAAACUUGUCUAGGUCACACCCAACAAAGGUUUCUCCUGGGCCAUUAGCUCAGGUGGUUAGAGCGCACCCCUGAUAAGGGUGAGGUCCCUGGUUCAAGUCCAGGAUGGCCCAUUCGUUGUUGGGGGUAUAGCUCAGUUGGUAGAGCGCCUGCUUUGCAAGCAGGAUGUCAGCGGUUCGAGUCCGCUUACCUCCACUGAAAACUAUCCUGAUAACUAAAUUAUGGAGAAAAAAUUGUAGAUGUGGCUUAGAAUUGUCUAUUGGAAAAGAACCUAGCUUCUUGUCAUCUUUUUAUAGUUGAUAAAAUGCUGGGCUCGCAUGGAUUAUUUCCAUGAGAAUUCAGUAGAACCUUGAAAACUGCAUAGAUUAGAAAGAAUAAAGCAUCUCAUGGAUGCAUAAUUCUGUUUUUAUAAUUUAGCCUUAAAACUAAAUUAUUUAAUUCUAGAAUUCAUGUUUAAUUCUUGAGUAAAAGCCGAGCACAAUUGAUUUUGUGAUUGUAUUUAA
rnacentral:tRNA from 1 species